UAAGACGAAGGUGGCAAGCGUUGUUCGGUAUUACUGGGCUUAAAGCGUGUGUAGGCGGAUAAAUUAGCGUUUUGUGAAAUCCCUCGGCUCAACCGGUUGAACUGCAUCCGAUACUGCCAGACUUGAGAUCAGUAGAGGAGAGUGGAAUUCCCAGUGUAGCGGUGGAAUGCGUAGAUAUUGGGAAGAACACCGGUGGCGAAGGCGGCUCUCUGGACUGAUUCUGACGCUGAGGCGCGAAAGCUAGGGGAGCAAACAGGAUUAGAUACCCUGGUAGUCCUAGCCGUAAACGAUGAAUACUAGGUGUUGGGUGUUUCCAUGCACUCAGUGCCGGAGCUAACGCAUUAAGUAUUCCGCCUGGGGAGUACGGCCGCAAGGCUG
rnacentral:rRNA from 1 species